GCCUGGCUGGCUCAGUCAGUAGAGCAUAUGACUCUUGAUCUCAGGGUCGUGGGUUCAAGCCCCACGUCGGGCA
rnacentral:tRNA from 1 species